rnacentral:rRNA from 1 species
GUGCCUACGGGAGGCAGCAGUGAGGAAUAUUGGUCAAUGGGCGCGAGCCUGAACCAGCCAAGUCGCGUGAGGGAUGACGGCCCUACGGGUUGUAAACCUCUUUUGUCGGGGAGCAACGGGGUCCUUGCGAGGGCCCGAUGAGAGUACCCGGAGAAAAAGCAUCGGCUAACUCCGUGCCAGCAGCCGCGGUAAUACGGAGGAUGCGAGCGUUAUCCGGAUUUAUUGGGUUUAAAGGGUGCGCAGGCGGAAUGUCAAGUCAGCGGUAAAAUUUCGGGGCUCAACCCCGUCGUGCCGUUGAAACUGGC